AGUCAUGCAGAUAAGCGGCAAAUUUCUUCUCCAAGUCCAAAUGUCCCAUUCAUACAAUAAGUAUACUAUUUCUCCAAAUGUCUACGGUGAUUUGGUAGCCCCAAGUCUCAAAGCUCUGAUGCAUUUGUAGCGUUAGGUGAGCAGGCAAGUGAAGCUCAGCUUCACUAACACUAAACAAUGCCGAGCCUGACACGGACUGAUCAGCCUUCGCCUUAUCAAAAAGGAGGGGAAAUGAUCUAGACGACUAGACCACACCAAGGACUACGGCAUUAAUACUUGCUGUUAGGGCUGUACUGCCAGUUUAACAACUCCAAUUGUCAAAAAAAAAAUUCCUACAAAUUCAAGCCAGCGAGUGCACUUAUCGGGUUCCUUUUUUUCUUAUGCCAUUUGGUUGGCUGGACAAGCUCAUCCUACCCGUACUAACCAUCUGCAAUACAUUGUGUUUUCUGAGCUCUGAAGUCUGAAGAAUUUUAUUCGAUCCUAACACCAUUUGAUCUCUUCAGAACUCGGAAGUGAUGCUUGCAGCUCGACUGCCUACCGGUGCAACUAGGACUUCAAAUAGGCUUCAAAUCUUGGAUGCCAUCUCACAAGCUUAGCUUCCAAUUUUUUAAAGUUUGAUGGAAAGGUUUGUUCCACCAGCUAGGCCAUUUGAGAAAUGCACGCAC
rnacentral:lncRNA from 1 species